GGCUCAGAACGAACGCUGGCGGCGUGCUCUACCAUGCAAGUCGAACGAACCUUCGGGUUAGUGGCGGACGGGUGAGUAACGCGUGACAAUCUGCCCUCAGGAGGGGGAUAACGGUUGGAAACGACCGCUAAUACCCCAUAUGCCGAGAGGUGAAAAGAAAUUCGCCUGAGGAUGAGCUCGCGUCUGAUUAGCUAGUUGGUGUGGUAAUGGCGCACCAAGGCUUCGAUCAGUAGCUGGUCUGAGAGGAUGAUCAGCCACACUGGGACUGAGACACGGCCCAGACUCCUACGGGAGGCAGCAGUGGG
rnacentral:rRNA from 1 species